UACAGAGGUCUCAAGCGUUGUUCGGAUUCAUUGGGCGUAAAGGGUGCGUAGGUGGUGCCGUAAGUCGGGUGUGAAAUCUCGGGGCUCAACCCCGAAACUGCACUUGAUACUGCGGUGCUCGAGGACUGGAGAGGAGAUCGGAAUUCAUGGUGUAGCAGUGAAAUGCGUAGAUAUCAUGAGGAAGACCAGUGGCGAAGGCGGAUCUCUGGACAGUUCCUGACACUGAGGCACGAAGGCCAGGGGAGCAAACGGG
rnacentral:rRNA from 1 species